GUGAUUGCUUCAGCAGCACAUAUACUAAAAUUGGAACAAUACAGAAAUUAGCAUGGCCCCUGCCAAGGAUGACAUGGAAAUACAUGAAGCUUUCCAUAUUUUU
ensembl:snRNA U6 U6 spliceosomal RNA